rnacentral:lncRNA from 1 species
UUAAACAAAUACAAACUACUCGGCCAACUAUUUAACAAGAAAUCAAAACUUACUUUUGCAACGAAGAAAACGAAUACGACAAUCAAGAUCAAUGAAAUUACCUAAACAAAAAAGCAGACUAAAUUAUGAACUCUGAUAAAUAUAUAAACUCUGAUAAAUACAACUAACAAUGAUUUUUGUUUACAUAUUACCCAUCAAAUAAAAAAUAAACAAACACAGCCACAACAAGAGAUACAAGAGACAAUCCCGACAGACACAAAGACGGCAACAACAGCUCCACCUGCUCACUCCUCUUGUCUUAUAAAAAUAGCUUACAUGUCCAAUGUCAACAGGCCAUUGCUAUUAUCUUCUCAUGAAAAAUACAUAAAUUCGUUUAAAACUCAUUAAAGCCCAAAUACUCAGAACUGUCACUCAUUUUAUAGUUAUUUCUACAAGUUUUCAUGUAUUUGUUUUAAAGGUCCGGUAAGAGCAACAAGUUUAAAAAUAAAAUAAAAACAUAUGACAAACAUAAUAAGAAUAAUAAAAAUUAUUACUUAAUACAUACAACUUACACGACUAAACUGGAGAAAAAAUAUUCAGAAACAAAAAGUAUUUUCAACAACUUUAA